rnacentral:tRNA from 1 species
GCGGGCGUAGCUCAACUGGUUAGAGCGCUUCCCUGUCACGGAAGAGGUUGCGAGUUCGAGUCUCGUCGAUCCCGCUCCA